rnacentral:lncRNA from 1 species
GGGACCGGUUCUCAGUGUCACCAGCACCAAACCUCAGCAGAUUUCCUGCACCUUCUGCUGCAGCACCACAAAUCUAUCAAAUGCCAAUGGGGCGCCUGCAGGGACGUGGCAAAGAUCGCAUACUUCUACAAGGAAUCUUUUAGAGGCUCCCAAGAACCACGCGGCAAAUGAUUUUUUCCAUGUGAGGGUGGGAAUUUCAAUAUUUUUCAAACGUAUCUCCAUCAUUCUAAGGGAGAUUUCACAAGAUACUAGAAAGUAUAUCCAAUUAUCUGAUCUGCUCACUGAAAAUGUUAUCUUUUAUUUAUUCUAUUGGCAAAGACCUGGACUGCUUUUCUUCUUAUAAGCAAGCAUUUUUAUAAAAGACAUUACAUCUUUA